CAACUCACUCAUUCAUGCAGAUACAUGUUUAAUAUAUAUUAUAAACAUCAUCAAAGUGGUUAGAAUGGAUCCCAAAGGCCUUUUUUAUAAGACAUUCAGUGUAUUAAACACACCAAAUAAUGCAAAACAAGGACUUGUAUGUUUCAUAGCUUUACCUAAUGGAGGCUACUACUCAAAGGAAAUUUUGAAGAGAAACCUGUUUUCUCCUACCUAAUAUAUUGUUUUAAAAGCAAGCCAGAAGGAGAUGGAUUUAUUUUACCCAUGCCUACAAAGCAAGUAGCAAAUACAUCAAAUGCAUGCAUAUCCUUAAAAAAAUAUCUCUAGACUUUUUUUCCCUUCAUAUUUUGAGAACAGUUGCUCGUCAAAAAUAAAUCUCUUUUCACCAGAA
rnacentral:lncRNA from 1 species